rnacentral:rRNA from 1 species
AGUGAACGCUGGCGGUAGGCCUAACACAUGCAAGUCGAACGGCAGCACAGUAAGAGCUUGCUCUUACGGGUGGCGAGUGGCGGACGGGUGAGGAAUACAUCGGAAUCUACUUUUUCGUGGGGGAUAACGUAGGGAAACUUACGCUAAUACCGCAUACGACCUACGGGUGAAAGCAGGGGAUCUUCGGACCUUGCGCGAUUGAAUGAGCCGAUGUCGGAUUAGCUAGUUGGCGGGGUAAAGGCCCACCAAGGCGACGAUCCGUAGCUGGUCUGAGAGGAUGAUCAGCCACACUGGAACUGAGACACGGUCCAGACUCCUACGGGAGGCAGCAGUGGAGAAUAUUGGACAAUGGGCACAAGCCUGAUCCAGCCAUACCGCGUGGGUGAAGAAGGCCUUCGGGUUGUAAAGCCCUUUUGUUGGGAAAGAAAAGCAGCAGGUUAAUACCCCGCUGUUCUGACGGUACCCAAAGAAUAAACACCGGCUAACUUCGU